CCUACGGGCGGCUGCAGUAAGGAAUAUUGGUCAAUGGAGGAAACUCUGAACCAGCCAUCCCGCGUGAAGGAUGAAGGGGCUCUGCCUUGUAAACUUCUUUUGUCUGGGGCGAAAAAGCUCGAUUUAUCGAGAACUGACGGUACCAGAAGAAUAAGCACCGGCUAACUCCGUGCCAGCAGCCGCGGUAAUACGGAGGGUGCCGGCGUUAUUCGGAAUCACGGGGGCGUAGGGGUGCGUAGACGUCAGUGGUGAAAGGCUGUGGCUUAACCAUGGAAUUGCCAUUGAUACUGCAGAGCUUGAAUGAGGUUGAGGUUGGCGGAAUGUGACAUGUAGCGGUGAAAUGCUUAGAUAUGUCAUGGAACACCGAUUGCGAAGGCAGCUGACUGGACCUAUAUUGACGCUGAGGCACGAAAGCGUGGGGAGCGAACAGGAUUAGAUACCCCAGUAGUC
rnacentral:rRNA from 1 species